GGUGUUUAGGCAGAGAAGGCUUGAGGAGACCACCUACAGGGCGGCCCAUGUCAACACGGGCGGGGUGACACCAGCACAGAGGAAAUGGCUGCCCAGCCCCGAGGGUCGAAGGGCAGGAGGAAGUACCUCCCUGCUCCCAGGAUAUGGAGGGCGCAGGUGGGGCUGAGCGCUGUGUGGAUGGCCCUGAGGCUAGCAGUUGUCACUCUACCGUAUAUCAGAAUCACCCUGGAGGGCUUGUUAGCAAAUUCAGCUCUUUACUCCGCUCAAGUACCAUAGCACUUCAGAUCAUGGUGUUGAUUCCAUAAAGUUCAUAUACAAAUAAUGUUCCAGUUCAGGUCUUUGGAAGGCAAUUUUUUUGUCUUAGAAAGAUGUGUUUCUUAUAUAGCCCCCUCAAUCUCUUGCCCCACUCCCUAGCAGGUGUUGUGACUUGUUUCAACAGUUUGUUUCUUUUUAUAGCUAAGUAGUAUUCCCUUGUAUGGAUAUACCACAUCCUUUCACCUGUUGAUGGCCAUUUGGGCUGUUUAUCUGUUAGCAAUCUCAGAUAAAGUUGCUGCGAAUAUUUGUGUGUAAGUNNNNNNNNNNNNNNNNNNUUUUAUUUUUCCUGGGUAGGCUCCGAGUACGGCGUCCUGUGCCUAAAAUGAUCUCCACCUGGAUGGCCACAUGGCCUGCCCCCUCGACUGGAUUUCACACAGGUUGGUUUCAGCUCAAAUGUCACUUCCCAGACCAUUCUUCUCAUUUACUUUGUACUAAAGGGCCCACCUGAUCACACAUCCCUUACCCUACUUUUUCCUCAUUGCACUUCAUUGCGCCCAAUAUUAUUUAUUUGUAUACUAUCUGUCCCUGCCUUGUUCAGUACUGUACCUCCAGCAUCUAGCGUGUGUCUGGAACACAGAAGUUGCUCAGUAAGUAUUUGUUGCACAAAUAAAUGAUGAAAUCAGAAUGCCUUUUUCCAAUAUCCACACCAGGUAUUAGACACCUGUAUAAUCUUUGCCUACUUAAUAUGUGGGAAACAAC
rnacentral:lncRNA from 1 species